rnacentral:rRNA from 1 species
GACGUAGGGUGCGAGCGUUGUCCGGAUUUAUUGGGCGUAAAGAGCUCGUAGGCGGCUUGUUGCGUCAGCUGUGAAAACCCGCAGCUCAACUGUGGGCUUGCAGCUGAUACGGGCAGGCUUGAGUUCGGUAGGGGAGACUGGAAUACCUGGUGUAGCGGUGAAAUGCGCAGAUAUCAGGAGGAACACCGGUGGCGAAGGCGGGUCUCUGGGACGAUACUGACGCUGAGGAACGAAAGCGUGGGGAGCGAACAGG